UGGGGAAUUUUGCACAAUGGGGGAAACCCUGAUGCAGCGACGCCGCGUGAUUUAGAAGGCCUUCGGGUUGUAAAAAUCUUUUCUAUGGGAAGAAAAUGACAGUACCAUAGGAAUAAGGACCGGCUAAUUACGUGCCAGCAGCCGCGGUAAUACGUAAGGUCCCAGCGUUGUCCGGAAUCAUUGGGCGUAAAGGGUACGUAGGCGGGUAAGCAAGCUAGAAGUGAAAUCCUAUAGCUCAACUAUAGUAAGCUUUUAAAACUGCUCAUCCUGAGGUAUGGAAGGGAAAGUGGAAUUCCUAGUGUAGCGGUGAAAUGCGCAGAUAUUAGGAGGAAUACCGGUGGCGAAGGCGACUUUCUGGCCAUAACCUGACGCUGAGGUACGAAAGCGUGGGUAGCAAACAGG
rnacentral:rRNA from 1 species